GAAAAGUCAAACGACAAAACCAUAGUUGAAUUGAGUGAGAAUAAUAUAUAUAUAUAUAGAGAGAGAGAGAGUAAAUACACCGCUACAAUGUCGGAAGAAGUAAUUCGCAACGAUCCCGAGCUGAAAUACCUUUCGGUGGAACGGAACCAAUACAAUGAUCCGGCCACACAGGCGGAAUGGACAUAGAAGCGCCUGGUCUGGGUGCCCCACGAGAAUCAGCAGAGACUAAAUUUUUGCCUGGGAUGACAAACAUUUUCUCAAUUCUAUAAUAUCCUUUCCUAGGGUAUGCAUUGUUGCUUGCAUUUUUCCGCAACAUGGAACGCGAUUAUUGCUUUCCGCCAAUGAAAAUUAUGGCAGGAAACGGCUGCGACAGAAUGUCAGGAUGCGUCGUGUUAAUAUUCCCCAAUAAUUGGUAAUAUUCACCCUAAGUCGAUGUCCAAAUAUAGUAAUUUAAGAACAUAAUUUAAAAGUAUGGAAUGGGACUCAUUGUUGUCAACCGGUUAUUACCGAUUCAAAUAAAUACUGAAAUAUACGGUAUUAUUUUCAAAAUAUACCGACGUAUUUUUGAUAUUCUGGCGAAUAUUACUAGCUAAAUAGAACCCUCAGGCCUGCCCACAUAAUUUUAUCCGACUAAUGAAUCAAUUUUCUACUCGACUGGUUUAUUUUAAAUACUUGCUUUUAUUUGAUUUUGCCCAAAGGUCAAACAAAUAAAACGUAAGAGAUUAUCUAUAUAAUGUGUUUGUACAAAAAUUGUGUGUACACACUUGCAACCAUGGUCGAUCUAUCGGCCUAGCCCGCCAGAUUCGAAUCUAUCCUUCUUCUUUCUAAUCUGUGCGCCCAAAAGUACGCUGACCGCAAUUGCCAAAACUAUGCAUCGUGGUAUAGCCGCUCUAUAUAACGAAUGACCCUUUUAUAUCUUUAUUAUCAUAUUGCUGAUUUUGCAUUGCUUUAUAUGAAUAUAAAACUUGAUCAAAAUGGAAAGACAUGAUGCGAGAUGUGGAUGCGAUGCGAAGUAAAGCAACUAAAAUUUUGUUGUAAUGAUUAGCUCAGUACGAUGAGAAGGUGGGUCGGCGGAACGUGUAUAUACGUUUCACAAGAAAAGUCACACGUGCAAAAAGAUUGACACACAACUCUAUUUAACUUUUGACAGAUGUCAGAAACAAUCCCAAAUAAGACACCUGCGUUCGUGGAAAAAGCUAUCACCACUAGGUGAAAAAGGUUAUUGUGCUAAAACAGCUCCAAAAUGAAAACUACGAAGUGCACGAUAUCUACAACCUGGGAAUGGGUGGAAAGUACGGUCAAUAUUCCAUUCUAUUUUUUCCAGACCGUUUUCCACCGUCUACUUCGUCAGUUCGCCCUCGUCUGUACCGUCAGCUAGUGUUGGCUCGGUGCAGAUAAUAAAUGUUUAUAAAAUUUUAAUAAAAAAAUGGAAUAUUUUGUUGAAUAAAAUAAAGAUAAAAAAGAAAUAGCAAGAGAGAAAUAAGAAGCAAAGGAGGCGAAGGAGAAUUGAUUCAAUAAAAAAAAGGUACAGAGGAAGUGCACCAGACCACCGACUGUUUCGUCUACAAUCCGGCCUGUUGCCUCGACGCCUAUCCGGCUUCUGAAUGCUGCGAUGCCGAAAUUAAUAAAUGCAGUUGCUGAUUUACUAUGUAUAUAACAAGGUCGAAAUAAUUAUAGUCAUAAAAUCAAAAUCAAAAUCAACAGAAAUAAAAUGUAAAAACAUUUUGUUUAGCUUUAUAACAUUGUUAUUUAAAAAAAAAGCGCCGAUAAGUUGCGCUUAUCGCACAAAAAUACCGAUAUUUUUUCGCAAGCCUGGAGGGAUUUUUCAUCGCAACACUGUCCAUUUCAUUACGUUUUAUUUCUGACCUUCUUUGCUCAAACCUUAUUUUAGGCACAAUAAAAUUAAAUUAAGCAUUUAAAGCUAGCUAAUCUUCUAGAAAAUUGAUUCAUCUAUCGGAUAAAAUUAUGUUUUGAGGACUGAAGGUCUUAGCUAAUCUUAAGUCGAAUUAAGUCAGCAUGAUUCGUGAUUAAAUAUUUUUAUAGCACUUUAGGUGAAAAAUAUCGUGGUCUUUUUUUAUAUAAAGAUGAAGGACAUGCAAGAGUAAAUAUUAUUUUUUGUCUAGUUCAAGUUAUUAUCAGUUUAAAUAAAGGGGGUUUAAGUGGGCUAAGUACGUUUUUUAUCAGACGGUCAGACUUCUGCUCUCUUCUGAAACGAAAAAAUGAGUCGUAAUUUUUUAAUGGGCCUUAAAAACGGGUAUGGACAACAAACAAAAACAGCCAAGGCAAAUUGCAAGGUUCGUACGAACCUUACCUCGGCGUUGUUGACAAACAAUAUACCUUGAAGUCAAAAGGGUGACUUUAUCCUUUUAUCCUCUUUUUUCUCGUUUUUAUAAGCAAAAAUUCAAUGUAGGUAACAAAAGGGGUUGAUGAAUUAUUCGUCUAAUAAUUUUAAUGUGUCAUAUUGAUAAAUCGUUCACUCUUUCUUGCGACGAAAAAUUGAGUCGUAAUUUAAAAUGGGCUAUAAAAAAGGGUAAGGACAAGGGGCAAAAACAGCCAAGACAAAUGUCGAGGUUCGCGUGUGAUGAAAAUAUUAAGCAAAAGUGGAUUUCAGCUUGCAUGCGGUUGCAUUUUCAGGGCCGUUUUGCCUGCUGUUCAUACCCUUUUUUUUCUGCCAUUAUGUGUAUAUAUAUACUGAAUAUAUACUGAAAAUAUACUGAAUGCGAGUACGCGUUGACAAUAAAUCGAAAACUAUAGAGGUGCUACCGUUAAAAUCGUUAAAAGUCAAACCCAAACACACAGACAACGCGAAGACCACGAAGCAAGUGGAUAGUGGAGUAGGCAAAAGUGAAAGAGAAAAUAGAGAGAACGCGAAACGUAACGCAACAAGGCAAUAAACAGUGAGUAAAGCAACCGCUGAAACGACGUGCGACGCGUCGAAAUAAAAGUGUGUAUUAAAAAACCUCAAUAGCCCCCACAUUACGACGAGAAAACUCAAACGACAAAACCAUAGUUGAAUUGAGUGAGAAUAAUAUAUAUAUAUAUAGAGAGAGAGAGAGUAAAUACACCGCUACAAUGUCGGAAGAAGUAAUUCGCAACGAUCCCGAGCUGAAAUACCUUUCGGUGGAACGGAACCAAUACAAUGAUCCGGCCACACAGGCGGAAUGGACACAGAAGCGCCUGGUCUGGGUGCCCCACGAGAAUCAGCAGAGACUAAAUUUUUGCCUGGGAUGACAAACAUUUUCUCAAUUCUAUAAUAUCCUUUCCUAGGGUAUGCAAUGUUGCUUGCAUUUUUCCGCAACAUGGAACGCGAUUAUUGCUUUCCGCCAAUGAAAAUUAUGGCAGGAAACGGCUGCGACAGAAUGUCAGGAUGCGUCGUGUUAAUAUUCCCCAAUAAUUGGUAAUAUUCACCUUAAGUCGAUGUCCAAAUAUAGUAAUUUAAGAACAUAAUUUAAAAGUAUGGAAUGGGACUCAUUGUUGUCAACCGGUUAUUACCGAUUCAAAUAAAUACUGAAAUAUACGGUAUUAUUUUCAAAAUAUACCGACGUAUUUUUGAUAUUCUGGCGAAUAUUACUAGCUAAAUAGAACCCUCAGGCCUGCCCACAUAAUUUUAUCCGACUAAUGAAUCAAUUUUCUACUCGACUGGUUUAUUUUAAAUACUUGCUUUUAUUUGAUUUUGCCCAAAGGUCAAACAAAUAAAACGUAAGAGAUUAUCUAUAUAAUGUGUUUGUACAAAAAUUGUGUGUACACACUUGCAACCAUGGUCGAUCUAUCGGCCUAGCCCGCCAGAUUCGAAUCUAUCCUUCUUCUUUCUAAUCUGUGCGCCCAAAAGUACGCUGACCGCAAUUGCCAAAACUAUGCAUCGUGGUAUAGCCGCUCUAUAUAACGAAUGACCCUUUUAUAUCUUUAUUAUCAUAUUGCUGAUUUUGCAUUGCUUUAUAUGAAUAUAAAACUUGAUCAAAAUGGAAAGACA